rfam:Hordeum vulgare subsp. vulgare, WGS project CAJW01000000 data, contig: morex_contig_158476
UAAAUACUCCCUCCGUCCAAAAAUACUUGUCACACAAAUGAAUAAAAAUGGAUGUAUCUAGAACUAAAAUAUGUCUAGGUACAUCCAUUUCCCCGACAAGUAUUUCCGGACGGAGCGAGUAGUUC